rnacentral:antisense_RNA from 1 species
GGGCGCUUGAGACUAUCUGUCUCUGGCGUGCUGGAGCGGAUAGAAGAAAGCCCCACACGACUAUAAAUCGAAGUGAGGCCAGUUCUUAUGCUUUGCAACAUAAGAUUAGCCUCUUACACGCCGAAAGGCAAGGAGACGCUAACCAUG